rnacentral:rRNA from 1 species
UACGUAGGGGGCAAGCGUUGUCCGGAAUCAUUGGGCGUAAAGAGCGUGUAGGCGGCCCGGUAAGUCCGCUGUGAAAGUCCAGGGCUCAACCCUGGGAUGCCGGUGGAUACUGUCGGGCUAGAGUCCGGAAGAGGCGAGUGGAAUUCCCGGUGUAGUGGUGAAAUGCGUAGAUAUCGGGAGGAAUACCAGUGGCGAAGGCGGCUUCCUGGCCUGUUCUUGACGCUGAGGCGCGAAAGCUAGGGUAGCAAACGGG